rnacentral:misc_RNA from 1 species
UUUUUUUUUGGGACAGAAGUUAGACUGGAGAACUAUGAUUUAACUAUGUGGUUUCUUACUAGAACUGAAUUUAUAAUUCUUUGUAAAUAAAAAUGGCUUCCUAGUAUACCAUAGUACUUUCCAAUUCCUAAUAUUAAAUGAAGAUAUUUCACUAUUGUAUACAUCUAAUCAUAGAAUUUAAUAUUCCUGUUAUACAGCCACUAUAAUGACCAUCCUUCUCAUUUUGCUUGUUUAUAAUAUAAAAUUUUUUUCUUAGUUAUGGAUUUCAAAGUAUGGCUCUUUGUAUCUUUCAAUGAAAUUGCAAGUGUCUGAAGACAGUAUGUGUG